rnacentral:rRNA from 1 species
CGGAUUGUAAAGUUCUGUUGUCAGGGACGAACACGUACCGUUCGAACAGGGCGGUACCUUGACGGUACCUGACGAGAAAGCCACGGCUAACUACGUGCCAGCAGCCGCGGUAAUACGUAGGUGGCAAGCGUUGUCCGGAUUUAUUGGGCGUAAAGCGCGCGCAGGCGGCUAUGUAAGUCUGGUGUUAAAGCCCGGGGCUCAACCCCGGUUCGCAUCGGAAACUGUGUAGCUUGAGUGCAGAAGAGGAAAGCGGUAUUCCACGUGUAGCGGUGAAAUGCGUAGAGAUGUGGAGGAACACCAGUGGCGAAGGCGGCUUUCUGGUCUGUAACUGACGCUGAGGCGCGAAAGCGUGGGGAGCAAACAGGAUUAGAUACCCUGGUAGUCCACGCCGUAAACGAUGAGUGCUAGGUGUUGGGGGUUUCAAUACCCUCAGUGCCGCAGC